rnacentral:pre_miRNA from 1 species
AAGCUACUCCCUCCGUUCCGAAUUACUUGUCGCAGAUAUGGAUGUAUCUAGAUGUAUUUUAGUUCUAGAUACAUUCAUUUCUGCGACGAGUAAUUUGGAACGGAGGGAGUAGUUA